rnacentral:rRNA from 1 species
GUGUCAGCAGCCGCGGUAAUACCGGCAGUCCGAGUGAUGGCCGAUCUUAUUGGGCCUAAAGCGUCCGUAGCUGGCCAACCAAGUCCAUCGGGAAAUCCACCCGCCCAACGGGUGGGCGUCCGGUGGAAACUGGCUGGCUUGGAACCGGAAGGCUCAGAGAGUACGUCCGGGGUAGGAGUGAAAUCCCGUAAUCCCGGACGGACUACCGAUGGCGAAAGCACUCUGAGAAGACGGCUUCGACAGUGAGGGACGAAAGCUCGGGUCUCAAACCGGAUUAGAAACCCCCGUAGUCC